UACAGAGGUCUCAAGCGUUGUUCGGAUUCAUUGGGCGUAAAGGGUGCGUAGGUGGCGUCGUAAGUCAGGUGUGAAAUCUCGGAGCUUAACUCCGAAACUGCAUUUGAUACUGCGGUGCUUGAGGACUGGAGAGGAGACUGGAAUUUACGGUGUAGCAGUGAAAUGCGUAGAGAUCGUAAGGAAGACCAGUGGCGAAGGCGGGUCUCUGGGCAGUAACUGACGCUGAGGAGCGAAAGCGUGGGGAGCGAACAGG
rnacentral:rRNA from 1 species